rnacentral:snRNA from 1 species
GAAUGUGAGGGCAAUCUGGCUGUGACAUCUGUCACCCAUGGAUCACCAGGGUUGAUUCGGCAGAUCCGCUGGGUAGGUGGGCGUCCCCUUCCCUCCUCACUGCUGCAAGUGUGUCCCUCCCGAAGCUGCGUGCUCAGCCCCAGAGGACAACCUUUCCCGAUACAGGAGGACCAUCCUUCAGUCAAAGGGGCCUGGGGAGCUGCGCUCUCCUGCUUGAACCUCCCAACAAGCUUUCGAAACCGAUGCUUUUAAAAACACUCCAUUUAUUUAGCUUGGAUGGGGACCUUCCCACACAUCAGCU